rnacentral:lncRNA from 1 species
CCAAACCAUGAGUGUUUGAGAGCCCAUUUCUAUCUGGCAAUCACACAUACAAUCCAUAUACUAUAAAAUAAAUAUAGAAAAAGAUAAUAAAACAAAAGCAUGGACAAUCUCUUAACUCAACUGAUCAAUGUGAAAUUUGAGCUCAUAACAUUAAAAAACAUAUGACACCAGUCUGCGAAAUCUCUAACAAUAUGAAAACCAACAUCUGUCUAAAAGAUGGGACAAGGCCCCAAGUUUGACCAUGAACCAAAACAAAUAACAAUGUCUUUAUAAACACAGCCUUCCAAAAUAAAGGAGGUUCACUAAU